CGAACGCUGGCGGCGUGCCUAAUACAUGCAAGUAGAACGCUGAAGCUUGGUGCUUGCACCGAGCGGAUGAGUUGCGAACGGGUGAGUAACGCGUAGGUAACCUGCCUGGUAGCGGGGGAUAACUAUUGGAAACGAUAGCUAAUACCGCAUAACAGUAGAUGUUGCAUGACAUCUGCUUGAAAGGGGCAAUUGCUCCACUACAAGAUGGACCUGCGUUGUAUUAGCUAGUAGGUGAGGUAACGGCUCACCUAGGCGACGAUACAUAGCCGACCUGAGAGGGUGAUCGGCCACACUGGGACUGAGACACGGCCCAGACUCCUACGGGAGGCAGCAGUAGGGAAUCUUCGGCAAUGGACGAAAGUCUGACCGAGCAACGCCGCGUGAGUGAAGAAGGUUUUCGGAUCGUAAAGCUCUGUUGUAAGAGAAGAACGGGUGUGAGAGUGGAAAGUUCACACUGUGACGGUAUCUUACCAGAAAGGGACGGCUAACUACGUGCCAGCAGCCGCGGUAAUACGUAGGUCCCGAGCGUUGUCCGGAUUUAUUGGGCGUAAAGCGAGCGCAGGCGGUUAGAUAAGUCUGAAGUUAAAGGCUGUGGCUUAACCAUAGUACGCUUUGGAAACUGUUUAACUUGAGUGCAGAAGGGGAGAGUGGAAUUCCAUGUGUAGCGGUGAAAUGCGUAGAUAUAUGGAGGAACACCGGUGGCGAAAGCGGCUCUCUGGUCUGUAACUGACGCUGAGGCUCGAAAGCGUGGGGAGCGAACAGGAUUAGAUACCCUGGUAGUCCACGCCGUAAACGAUGAGUGCUAGGUGUUGGAUCCUUUCCGGGAUUCAGUGCCGCAGCUAACGCAUUAAGCACUCCGCCUGGGGAGUACGACCGCAAGGUUGAAACUCAAAGGAAUUGACGGGGGCCCG
rnacentral:rRNA from 1 species